UUUGUUACGCAUAUUGUCUUUGUUUUCACGUCAAAUGACAUGUUGGGGUCAGCAUCGCAAGACCCGGACCCGGAAGUGACGUUACUCCAAUGCCGGUAUUUUGAAUGUAGUGGGAAGUCGGCUAAAGUUUGGUCAGGUUUUAGAGCAAGUUAUGUUUGUUUGAAAACCAAAAAGGUGUUGUUUUUUCCCCUGGUGCCCUAGAUAUGUUUGGCCCUGGUUGAAGGAUACAAUUUAAAGGUUUAUUUGUUGAAUUAUGUGGAAUCGAUCCUGCUGGGAAUGCAAUCGCCGAGUUCAUUUGGGGACGCCCAACAGAAAAUGGCGGUGUACGCUGCUUUAGUGUUUAUUUAGACUACUUUUGGUUAUGGCGACCGAAGGGCCUGAAAACCGGACCAAAUGGAGGAAGAAAGCAGGCGACGGGAUCAGAGUUGAUGGUUCCCUCCCCUUCUCCUUUUUUCCUCAUUUAUUUGCUCCCCCUCUUCAUUACUGUUUUCUGUUUUUCCCCCUCUCCUCUCCCCUCCCUCCCCUUAGCCAUCAUUCCUCCCCCAUUUCUUUCCCAUUCAUCCCAUUCUCCCCAUCCCCUUCCCUCCCCUCCUCUUGUACUGCAGUCCAGUGUUCUAGAAGGGUGAGUCAGGAGAUGGGCGGAGCUCAGAGGACCAGGGGGGGAGGAGUCUGCCGACCCGGUCAUGUCAUAAGGGGGCGGGGCUGCGUGUUUCGGCUGCUCUCACAUCCUGGUGGCGUCUUCGUCUGAGAACCUUCCCCUCCGUAUUAAGAGCGGGGGUCUGGAGAGAGAUGGAGAAGAACUUCAGGAAAGGAGAGGGAGAUGGAGAGAUGGACGGUGAGACGGAUGGAGAGAUGGAUUGUGAGGCGGAUGGAGAGGGGGACGCACAUCAUACAAAAUCAAAGGUUUGGCCAAUGGGGUGAUGGGGCAACCAGCACGUUGCCAUGGUAACUUUGCAUGUUAGUGCCGUACCUAAUCCAGUACAUUCCAGGGUGUUGGUAGUAGUCCAAAGAGCCCGAUCUCUGGAUGGCAAAGUCAUGUUCCAGCUGAGCAGAGAGAGAGAGAUGAAGGAGAUUAUUCAAACCAUGACAUUCACUGCUGAACAUGCUGAAAUGUUUGAUUGUUUCUGCUCCUUCUCAAACUAAAAAAAAUGUUGAGUGCACAUGUUUUAUGAAUGGUUCAACUCAAUUCCUUUGACGUACACACCUGUGUUAGCCCUAAGGCCUGAUAUAAGAUAUUUGUCUAUUUAUAACACCACAUCAUUUGGACAGCUCUGACUGAUACUGUGUGAAAUACGUAAGAACUUGUGACUUGGAAAGGAAUUUAAAGUCGUCAACAACUGAAUUCGUAUCCUGCUCUCACUUUCAGAGUCACAGUGAGAUUUUUAGAUCACAAAAGAUGGACAUCGUUAAGUCUGAGAGGGUGCUAGAUUUAUCGGCAGCUUGCAAAACGGUUUUGAUCUGAGUGGGUUUUUGAUCUUGGUGGGUUUUUAUAAUUUUAUUUAUCUGUGUGGGUUUGUGGAUCACACAUAAUAGGUCUACCGUUUCCAGCUCGGUAAGUACUGCACCACGCUUAUCUCCUGGGCAAGAAAGAAAAUAAAACCUGUCCAGUUAUCUUUAAAAAAAAAAAAAAAAAAAAAUCUUGCUUUCACCCCCACUAAGGUUUUACAUUUUUCUCAAUCCCAUUGGCUCACCCUGGGACACAAGGCAAUUAUACACAGAUGGGAUCAGAGUUAAUUCCUCAUAUGCCAAAUUCAUGACCAGACACCAGAGAAUCUUGGCUAUUCCGAUGAUCCAAUUACUGAUUUUACAAAACUUUAAUCUCCUGAAAGUGUACCCAGCAUCCUCCACCACUGAGCCUGAUUGAGGUGUAACUCAGCUAUGGAGAAAGUGACCCAAUUAGAGGCCAAAAACAGGGAAUCAUGUUUUUUUAAAGGAUCUAAAGGUCUCGUAGAAUGUAAACAUGACCUGUGGUCAUUUUUAUGCCUAUAAACUGUAUUUAAAUGAUUGCACGUGAAAUGUUUCUAGAUUAAAUGAAAUGUAUAGUACAGGUCCGUUGGGGAGUUUGGGGGAGGGGUUUGGGUUUGGGGGUGGGGGUGGAGCUUACCGAAGUGACGGACACGUCGGCCGUGGGGCUGUCCGGUUUGGGGCAGGUGUUGAAGUGCUUCCUGAUCUUUCCGGCGACAGACAGCUGGUGCUCGUUCUCCGGCAGGCCCCCGUCCUGAAGGGAGGAGCGGACAGGAGAUGCCAGGCACCCGAUUAGCAUACAAGGUGGCCAGGUGGAGGUGGAAGUGCAGGUGAAGGUGUAAGUGCGUUCUGCAUGCUGGUGGUACAGGUGAACUCUCCCCUUAUUGUUGAGUGCUUUCAUGCUUAUCAGAUGAAAAAAGCUACAUAAAUUAUUACUGUUAUUAUUAUUGGUAUUAUCAGCCAAUCCUUUACACUGUAGGUCUGUAUUGUAAGGGGGUCCUGUAUUCCAUGCAGUAUGGUAGGUGUCCUGGUAUAUGGCGGCCAUGUUGAGAGCUGUGUGCAGUUCAGUCAGUGUAAGAGGAUAAGAUGGCAGCCAUGUUGAGAGCUGUGUGCAGUUCAGUCGGUAAGAGGGUAGGAUGGCGGCCAUGUUGAGAGCCGUGUGUAGUUCAGUCAGUGUAAGAGGAUAGGAUGGCAGCCAUGUUGAGAGCUGUGUGCAGUUCAGUCGCUGUAAGAGGGUAGGAUGGCGACCAUGUUGAGAGCCGUGUGUAGUUCAGUCGGUGUAAGAGGAUAGGAACACUCACAUUGACCCAGGGGUGCUGCAGGACCUGAAGGGCCGUGUAUCUCUGAUCAACCUCCACCUGCAGCAUCGACUGAAUCAGCUCCUGUGGAGGACGAGAGCGUACGCAACGUGAGUAACACACACACAUCCGUACACUCAUACAUACACAUUUAUGCACAAUGUGAGCAGCAGUAAUACAGAUCCAUUCCCACACAAUCUGAGUGGUACACACACUAAAGAGAAGCAGUGAGACAGACAGACGAACACAGAACCACACAUAUCCAUAAGCACAUAUCAAAGAAAACACCCACCUUAGCACUGUCUGAAACAUUGUCCCAGUAGGGUAAUGGGAAGUCUAGCUGUCCCAGCAGAAUCUGAUCGAAGAGGACUUCCUGGUCUUCAGUACUUCUGGAAAAAAGUGAGGGGAAAAAAUCCUGUUUUUACCUAAAAUAACACACCAUAGGACAGCACAGAUUAUGGUUUUUAAUGGAUUGUUUUUACAUUGAAUGACUUCAUAUUGCAUAACCAGCCCACCUGCUAAUGCCUAAUGGGUUGUGCUGCAUGUGUGUUUCUUGUUAAUAAGAUCUUGUGUUGUUGAAUGGCACUUUUACAUGUUUAAGUUGGAUAUUUAAUAUUUACAGGCUCUUUGUGUCCUGUCUGUAUGCUAAAUGUUUUUUGCUGUGUUGUUCCUGUUUUGUUUCCCCUCUUAAAUACUGCCUCUAUUUAUUUAAUGUAUGGUUGCAUUUGGUCUUUGCUGCUGCCAAAAAAAAAUCACAGUAUUUAUCUAUAUAUCUGUCUGUCUAUCAGUUGAUUGAUUAUAGAGCACUAUGUUCAAUUUAGUAAUAGCAUUCCAAAGGGACACCAGUCAUUAGUUGUUCAUUUCCACUGUACAUCAGGUCUGAUGUAUUAAAUAAACUUGCAUGUUCAUGUACUGAAAGUGUGUAGAGACAUACAAGUUGGAAGAAAGACUACCAAUAUUCCAACUGUAGUCCCAUUGCUGUUUAGAUCCAGAAAGCUUUUUCCCAGUGAGAAAAUGCCAGAAUCUACACGUCUAGAGAGGUGGAAAUUCAGUUUUGUAUGUUUUGACAUAAAUGGUCUAGGUUAACCCCAGUAUAGCUCCGGUUUUACUCAGACACAGCCUGGCUAUCUCGGCUAGAAAACUUUUCAAUCAACUGUAGUCGGGGUUUCCACCAGAGUGCCUAGAUGGUGUUUCACCAGCAGAAUGUUCCCUGGGUUCUGUUGCUAUGCCUGUAAUGCACAACCGGCGCAGGACGGGACACAAAAUGGACGCCGAGGACAGCGAGCUGGGACGCCUACCCCCGGAACGGAGGGAAGCCGCAGAGGAGGAUGUAGGUGAUGACGCCGGCCGCCCAGAUGUCCACCUUAAGGCCGUACCUGCAGAGAGGAACAGACCCGCGCUCAGACGUGGGGCUACAUGACACUGAAUGGGGGGUACAGACACUGAAGGGGCAGUACUGACAUAGGCCAGUGGGGUCAGUGAACACUGCAGGUUCAUUCACACUUUAUUUUCACUCCUUGUAUCUGUUCACGUCCUCGCACUUUCCUUGGCUCCCACCCAACAGAGGAUGUAAGGAUGAGAUGGGUGUUCAAGGUUAAGAUUUAUUUAAUUGACCAACACUCACCCGCUCUCUGCAAUAAUCUCUGGUGCUACAUAGGUGGGUGUCCCACACACAGUAUAAAGGGGUCCGUCCACAACAGUGGCUAAGCCGAAAUCGCCAAGCUUGAGGGACUUGCUACCAUCUUGGUGUUCGUAAACCUGAAAUACAAAAAAUGUGUAUAUAUUAUGUUGCUGCUCAACGAUAAUGACACCUUGACUUCAACAUCAAACCCUGUGGCUGGCAGCAUAUACUGCUGUAAAAAAAAAAAAAAAACAUUGGAUGUAGAGGGCGAACCAUCAUACUUGCUACCAAUUAACCAGUGGAAAUAGCUUGGAUAAUUCAUUGAAAAUAUCUACAGUGACUGAACAGAGCUUGCUACCAGACAAUACUGUUGUAAUUUUAUUCUGAAACAAGGUUAGCCACAAUCUUAUCGUUUAGAGAUCCUAUUUCAUAAUUUUCAUUUUGUGUAUUUUUUUCCCCUCCAUUUAUUAAUUUGUCUGAAAAAAGAGACUAUUAUGUUGAAUUUCACUGUUCAUCCAAUGAUAUUUUAAUGAGAAAUUAUUUAAAUGCAGGUAUUUUCACAUCCACCUGAAUAAAAAACUUACAUUUUUUAAAUUGUUCCUGUUUUAAAUAUGAGAUGGUAGUCUUUUGUACUUUGCUGUUUCUCCACUGAAAAAGUAUUAUUUUGCGAAAUGUUAAAACGGAUUUUCCUUGAUUUCACACUGUUGAGUUUAAUUGUUGAAUAAGUUGGAUUUCGUAUGUAUGUGAUGUAUAAAUAUUGUUUGUUCUUUU